UAACUUUUAAGUGAAAAGGCUUAAAUAUUUUAAGAAGACGAUAAGACCCUAUAAAGCUUUAUAAGAAGUUUAUAUUUAGUUAAAAUAAAUAAUAAAAUCUUAAUAUUUACUCUUAUUUUAUUGGGGAGAUAAAAUUAUAAUUUAAUAUAACUGAGUUUUAUUAAUACAAAAAUAAAUGUUUAUUAGUAGAUAAAAGAUCCCUUCUAGGGAUUUUAAGUUUAAGUUACUUUAGGGAUAACAGCGUUAUUUCUUUUGAGAGUUCGUAUCGAAAAAGAAGAUUGCGACCUCGAUGUUGAAUUAAAAUUUCUAGAUUAUU
rnacentral:rRNA from 1 species